GGCUGCACCAAAGCAAGGUGUCAGCAGGGUGGUCAUGUGCUCAGUGGCACCUGCUGUUGUUUGCCUGUGCCUGAAGAUGGCACCCAGUGCCCAUGCUCCUAGUUUCCUCGCAUCCUGCAUCCAUCCCACCACAACCUCUGUUUGUGUGAACCAUGUGGGCGGGCCCUACUCUCAUGGAACUAGUAAUACAUGAGCCAAACACACUUCACCAAGGAGUUCUGCCUCAUUACUGACACCCAAAAUGUACCCAGAAGGCAUGGUGGUAUGCACCGUGCACUCCCCUAGGUAGGACCAAACUGCUGGCUUUAUGGGGAAGAAAGAAGUCACCUGGGCGCUCAGAGGCCAGAAGAGAGGAAAGUCAGGAAAAUGGUGACUGCCGGAAGACUGUGAUUAUGAUGGCAUCCAGGUGUGCUGGUACUGAGAAUGGAAAAUGACUAGAAGGAACAGAAGGAAGCCAGCUCUGCCCUCUGAGGAUUCUGUGCUGUUACAGUUGCCCACUUUUACCUGUGUGUUGCCACACAUGGGGCCAACCUAAGUCCUUUAUCCUUAGCUAGCUCACCCAGCCUAGCAUCAACUAGGUAAGGGGGUGUGACUCCUUCCGUCAGCUUUCAUCCAUUUGCUCAAGGACACAGUCAACAAGCAUGUGGUAGACGGAGGACCUGAAGCCAGGCUGCAGGCCCAGAGACACACUCAUCUCCUUCCUGUAUCCAGCCCCUUUGUUCAGAAGAAGAAGGUCGCUAUCAUCCAGGGACUGCCCUUCACAAAAUACAGAUCAGGAGCAUCUCCUCUUGGUUGUAUCUGUAUGUGGGGAGAACUCCCCAGAGCAAUCUCCCUAUGGAAUCUCAAGUUAGGCUCCAAGUCAUAGAAAGGCAGACUUGGAAGUUCAAGAAAAGUAUCAAGACCUGAAUUCUCAGUUACUCAAAGGAAUCUACAACCCUGUGGCUUAACUGCAAAGGAAACCUGGUGUGGACAGGUAUGCAGGCCAUCUGUGGUGCCAUGUGAUCGAAUCCAUGGCUUGCUUCCUAUUGGCUGUUUAACAGAGAACUAGAUGUACUUAGAAAAAGUGAAAAUGUCACACAUCUCAAGGAAGACUCAGUGCUGAUAUCCUUGCCCAGCCCCCCCCUAACAAUCCUCUAGUAAUGGCUGGGGCAGGUGACACUCCUUUGCGCUCUGAACAGUGAGCAGGUGGUAAGGAGUGAGACCAGGAUUGGUGGAGGGAAAAGGGCAGUUCUACAGAAGUUUGUGGGCUGUGGGCUCAUCACAUUAAAGAUUAAUGACCAACUGAUGUCGGGGGCCACAGUCUCCAGUGCUCCAGGCUUUCUGCCUGCUUCUACUUCUUGGCCUGUUAGCCAGACCAACUCCUCACACAGCAUCCUGCCAUCUGAGGACCACUGGAGUAGCUUGGCCGUGGCAUGUCCUGCUCUACACUUGCAGACUGGCCCCACCAGGCACGGGUUCUGUCCUAAUUUGCUUUCUGUUGCUGUAAUAAAGCAUUAAGACCAAAAGCAUUGUGGAGAGGAAAGAGUUUUUAUUUGGUUCUAAUCACAGUCCAUCAUUGAGGAAAGUCAAGGCAGGAACUCGAGGCAAGAACCGAAGUAGAGCAUGGAGGAGUGCUGUUUACCAGCUUGAUCUCCAGGCUCACUCAGCUUGCUUUCUUAUACCUCCCAGGACUACCUGCUCUGGGACAGUAUUACCCACAGUGGGCUGGACUCCCACAUCAAUUAUUAAUCAAGAAAAUGUUCCCUAGCCAUGCCUUUAGGCCAGUCUGUUGGUGGCAUUUUCUCAAUUAAGAUUCCCUCUUCCCAGAUGAC
rnacentral:lncRNA from 1 species